rnacentral:rRNA from 1 species
GGCGGGUGAGUAACACGUGGAUAACCUACCUAUAAGACUGGGAUAACUUCGGGAAACCGGAGCUAAUACCGGAUAAUAUAUUGAACCGCAUGGUUCAAUAGUGAAAGACGGUUUUGCUGUCACUUAUAGAUGGAUCCGCGCCGCAUUAGCUAGUUGGUAAGGUAACGGCUUACCAAGGCGACGAUGCGUGGCCGACCUGAGAGGGUGAUCGGCCACACUGGAACUGAGACACGGUCCAG